AGUGAACGCUGGCGGCAUGCCUAACACAUGCAAGUCGAACGGCAGCACAGUAAGAGCUUGCUCUUACGGGUGGCGAGUGGCGGACGGGUGAGGAAUACAUCGGAAUCUACUUUUUCGUGGGGGACAACGUAGGGAAACUUACGCUAAUACCGCAUACGACCUACGGUUGAAAGCAGGGGAUCUUCUGACCUUUCGCGUUUGAUUGAGCCGAUGUCGGAUUAGCUAGUUGGCGGGGUAAAGGCCCACCAAGGCGACGAUCCGUAGCUGGUCUGAGAGGAUGAGCAGGCACACUGGAAUGGAGAGACGGACCAGAAUCCUAAGGGAGGCAGCAGUGGGGAAUAUGGGAGAAUGGGGGAAAGCCGGAUCCAGCGAGACCGCGUGGUGGAGGAAGGCCUUGGGGUUGUAAAGCCCUUUUGUUGGGAAAGAAAAGCAGCAGGUGAAUGCAGCGCUGUUGUGACGGUACCCAAAGAAUAAGCACCGGCUAACUUCGUG
rnacentral:rRNA from 1 species